GAUGAACGCUGGCGGCGUGCCUAAUACAUGCAAGUCGAGCGAACAGACCAGUAUCUUGCUCCUCUGACGUUAGCGGCGGACGGGUGAGUAACACGUGGAUACCCUACCUAUAAGACUGGGAUAACUUCGUGACACCGGAGCUCAUACGGGAUAAUAUAUUUCACCGCAUGGUUCACUAGUGACAGACGGUUUUGCUGUCACUUAUAGAUGCUUCCGCGCCGCAUGAGCUAGUUGGUAAGGUAACGGCUUACCAAGGCGAUGAUGCGUAGCCCACCGGAGAGGGUGGUCGGCUACACGGGAACUGAGACACGGUCCAGACUCUGACGGGAGGAAGCGGUAGGGAAUCUUCCGCAAGGGGCGAAAGCCGGACGGAGCAACGCGGCGGGAGGGAUGAAGGUCUUCUGAUGGGAAAGCUCUGUUAUUAGGGAAGAACAAAUGUGUAAGUAACUAGGCAGGUAUUGACGGUACCUAAACAGAAAGCCACGGCUAACUACGUG
rnacentral:rRNA from 1 species